rnacentral:misc_RNA from 1 species
GAUGAAGAACGUAGCGAAAUGCGAUAAGUAAUGUGAAUUGCAGAAUUCAGUGAAUCAUCGAAUCUUUGAACGCACCUUGCGCCCUUUGGCCAUUCCGAAGGGCAUGCCUGUUUGAGUAUCAUGAACACCUCAACUCUCAUGGCUCGCCAUGAUGAGCUUGGAUUUGGGGGUCUUGCUGGCCUGUGGUCGGCUCCUCUCAAAUGGAUCAGCUUGCCAGUGUUUGGUGGCAUCACAGGUGUGAUAACUAUCUGCGCUUGUGGUUUUCCAUCAGAUAACCUUCAGUGAUGGAGGUUCGCUGGAGCUCAUAAACGUCUCCCCUAAGCGGGGACAGCCCUUUGAAUGUUUGAUCUCAAAUCAGGUAGGACUACCCGCUGAACUUAAGCAUACAAUAAGCGGAGGA